rnacentral:lncRNA from 1 species
GCCUGCGCGCCGGGGCGUCGCCCAGCGACGUUGCCGCGGUCACGUGAGGGCUGGGCGGGGCUGCGCUCGCUCCCGUUCCCGCUCCCGUUCCCGCUCCCGCCCGCGGGGGGCGCUCCGGGCGGCUCUCGGUCUCUGCUGCGGUGCCGGGCUCUCCUCGCACUUCCGAGCACGGCUUUUCUCUGCUCGCUCAGUCCGUCUCCCCUUCCCCUUGGGCCCGGCCCCUUCGGGAACAGCCAUGGCGCAGCCACGAGUGGCUCCUCGCCUUGAGACACCGACACCCCCGCACGGAUGUGACCCCCACACUGUCCAGGUACAAAGCACCCGAGGUUCAGAGGGCACAGGUCCAGCCCAGCGUAAUGUUCAACAUCAGCAAGGAGCACCUGGGCCCCACAGCUGAUCUGCACAACUUCUCUGUGUGCAGCAGCACUUGUCCUUGUUCUGUGACUGGAUUGCCGUGGAUUCCCGGUGCUGUGCAGAGAAUUGGAAUGAAACCCUGGGCAGCUUUUCCCCUUGGUAAGGCAUAGUUACUGCACGGAGCGUAAGCGGACCACAUACAAUCUCCUACUUCUACCCAGCGCUCGUGUAGGCUGAGCAAAGGGCAGAGCUUGGCACGGGGGACACCCCGGGAGGAGCCCCGCAGGUCCGUCCGGCAGGGGACAGCAGCCCCUCGGCCAGCUGAGGGCGGCUGGGACCGGGCAGGGAACGGGAGUGGAACGGGAGUGGAACGGGCAGGGAACGGGAGUGGGACUGAGCUGGGACCGAACCACGACUGAGCGGCACCGGCAGUAGGUGUUACGGACACACACUCGGGCAGAUCGCACAUACCGAUAACUCCAGGGACAGGGCACACUCAUAUUAGGGCUGAAACACCUGUUUCAGAUCCAUUGUCUGGGCUAGACUUUCAUACUGGCCCUUUACUGUUUACUACUGGCCUGUAAUCUGCACUUUAACUCGACACAAGUAUUUAUUUUCUGUAGAAAACAACAAAAUUCAAACUUUGUUGAUCUUCUGUCUGAGAAUCAAAAGAAAAAUGGUUUGAUCCUUCCAUUGUACAAAAAGGGAAGAAUGCCUGAACUGAGGAAGUGGGGAACUACUGAAACAUUUGGUAGCAGGUCACUGUUGGACCAGUGGGGAAGGCACACAGCAUUGCUGCAUCAUAGCAGAGGUUUCAGGAUCCCAUGUGGGCUGGAUCUGCAAGUGAAAUAAAUCACAGCACGUGUCUCA